CCUACGGGUGGCAGCAGUCGAGAAUUUUUCUCAAUGGGGGAAACCCUGAAGGAGCGACGCCGCGUGGAGGAUGAAGGUCUUCGGGUUGUAAACUCCUGUCAUUUGGGAACUAGUACCAGAAGAGGAAGGGACGGCUAACUCUGUGCCAGCAGCCGCGGUAAUACAGAGGUCCCAAGCGUUGUUCGGAUUCAUUGGGCGUAAAGGGUGCGUAGGUGGCGCCGUAAGUCAGGUGUGAAAUCUCGGGGCUUAACUCCGAAACUGCAUUUGAUACUGCGGUGCUUGAGGACUGGAGAGGAGACUGGAAUUUACGGUGUAGCAGUGAAAUGCGUAGAGAUCGUAGGGAAGACCAGUGGCGAAGGCGGGUCUCUGGACAGUCCUGACACUGAGGCACGAAGGCCAGGGGAGCAAACGGGAUUAGAUACCCUGGUAGUC
rnacentral:rRNA from 1 species